rnacentral:rRNA from 1 species
UGAAAGCAUCUAAGCGGGAAACUUGCCUCAAGAUGAGAUCUCACUGGAACCUUGAGUUCCCUGAAGGGCCGUCGAAGACUACGACGUUGAUAGGUUGGGUGUGUAAGCGCUGUGAGGCGUUGAGCUAACCAAUACUAAUUGCCCGUGAGGCUUGACCAUAUAACACCCAAGCAAUU